CUCAUCUUAGCACACAAUCUAUUUAUUAUGAUUUGAUGGUUAGAGGUUCUUCCUAUUAUAGAUAAUUAUCUAUGACCCAAUAGACUAGGAGUCCUAAUUCAAAUCAACUUUGAAUUAAUCUAACCCUUAUCUAAGAAGGAAUCCUAUUUGAGAUAGGAUAGAUGCCAACUAGGUGCCCCCAUGCACCCACGUCUACACCCAAGAAGGGGGUGGCAAAACCAGCACCCCCACCC
rnacentral:lncRNA from 1 species